CUAGCAUAGCUGGGUCAGGUUGGUGGGAGCGAAAACGGUGGAAUUAAGCAUGGACUGACCACCCAGCAUGGCCAGAGAAAAGUCUCCAACCUUCCCACUCAAUCGUCUCUGAUAGAGGAGAGCUGAGCGCGGAGACAGGAUCAGGCGCAGCGAGCCUCGCCGGCCUGUGACGGAGCAAAGUCGGCAAGGAGGAACGGCUCCGACACGGAAAUCCAAGCAAGAUGGUUCACCUACACAGGACGCCACGGAGAGAACCAGAAGUUGGCUCAGAGGCAAGAAAUGCAAGAGAAGCAGACAGUAGGAGGAAAGAGUCUGCUCCAGGUCCAAAGUCCAAAAGGACUCAGAUGGGUUCCCUGACGGUUCUCAGAAGGCCAACGUCAAGGCGUGUGCUGGACUGGGCUCCUACAGAGGAUCUAGGGAAGAAGCCACUUCCAAGCUUGAUUGGUUCUUGGCAGAAUUUAAGUUCCCCAUGGAUGUAGGACUGCAGUCCCCAUUCCCUUCUGACUGUCAUCCAGAGGCCUUUCUCUCAGUUCCUUCAGGCCACCUGCGUCCCUUCUCACCUGGCCCCUCCAUCCUCAAACCAGCAGCAGUUCAUGGAGUCCUCGUGUUUCACACCUGUAGGGUUCGCCUUCAGACACCAGCUCUGUGCCUUUCAUGACCCAUGGGAUUACU